CCUACGGGUGGCAGCAGUCGAGAAUCAUUCACAAUGGGGGAAACCCUGAUGGUGCGACGCCGCGUGGGGGAAUGAAGGUCUUCGGAUUGAAAACCCCUGUCAUGUGGGAGAAAAUUAAAAAGAUAGUACCACAAGAGGAAGAGAAGGAUAACGCUGUGCGAGCAGCCGCGGUAAUACAGAGGACUCAAGAGUUGUUCGGAAUCACUGGGAGUAAAGCGUGCGUAGGCUGUUUCGUAAGGCGUGUGUGAAAGGCGCGGGCUCAACCCGCGGACGGCACAUGAGACUGCAAGACUAGAGUAAUGGAGGGGGAACCGGAAUUCUCGGUGUAGCAGUGAAAUGCGUAGAUAUCGAGAGGAACACUCGUGGCGAAGGCGGGUUCCUGGACAUUAACUGACGCUGAGGCACGAAGGCCAGGGGAGCGAAAGGGAUUAGAUACCCGGGUAGUC
rnacentral:rRNA from 1 species